GAUGAACGCUGGCGGCGUGCUUAACACAUGCAAGUCGAACGAAGCAUUUAAGACAGAUUACUUCGGUUUGAAGUCUUUUAUGACUGAGUGGCGGACGGGUGAGUAACGCGUGGGUAACCUGCCUCAUACAGGGGGAUAGCAGCUGGAAACGGCUGGUAAUACCGCAUAAGCGCACAGUACCACAUGGUACAGUGUGAAAAACUCUGGUGGUAUGAGAUGGACCCGCGUCUGAUUAGCUUGUUGGCGGGGUAACGGCCCACCAAGGCGACGAUCAGUAGCCGACCGGAGAGGGUGACCGGCCACAUUGGGACUGAGACACGGCCCAGACUCCUACGGGAGGCAGCAGUGGGGAAUAUUGCACAAUGGAGGAAACUCUGAUGCAGCGACGCCGCGUGAGUGAAGAAGUAGUUCGCUAUGUAAAGCUCGAUCAGCAGGGAAGAUAGUGACGGUACCCGACUAAGAAGCUCCGGCUAAAUACGUG
rnacentral:rRNA from 1 species